rnacentral:lncRNA from 1 species
AAAUCAUGACCGUUGAUCUUAGUGCUCUUCAGUUCUAUAAAUUGGGGUCUUGAGAUUGAGUUUCAAUUUUUGAUUUCCUUGUUUCAAAGUGUCAACAAUGCAUUCUUCUUGAGAUUAUUUCCACUUUUGUUGAAGCUCUAUUGGGUUUCAGUCCUUCACGUUGAAUCAAAUCAUACUUUAUUGAAUUUUGGAAUCUGCAUUAAAGCAUAAGGUACAUGUUUUCUUAUUUUUCGUUCUUCUCUGAUUUCAUUAGUUAAAC